UACUGAUUGGUUGGGUAUGUAAAAUAGUAACGGAACUGUUGAGCGUUAAGUGCUGUAAAGCACAUGCCGUUUUCUCUCGCAUUGUUAUAACGAAAAUGAAUUUCUGAUAGCUCAAACCAAACGGUACCUGACGGACGCGACGCAAAACGAAACUUUCCUCUCAAGGCCAAAGAUCGAAGGAGAAGAAAGAAACCAAUAGACAAAUUCUAUAAUGUGUGUCACUCUCGACGUGCGUCCAUGAAAACCGUGUCAAUGAAAAUAACCACCUCGCGAUCUUGAACUUCAUUGAUCAAGGAGGAUCGAGAAGAAAGGUCUCAUGCUUCACACCACCCGAAAUCUACAGAUGGGGGAAAUCAAAAGUAUAAAAAUUGUAUUUGGGCAGUCAGAAGUAAUACAAGCGCUUGGUUGCUUUUGUCUAUGGGCCGGCGGCAUCAUAUUCCUUCCAAAAAAAUGCAGCCGAGAUAAUCUACAGAGCAAUGAGGAACUGGUCGCCAAAAACUCAAGACAUUGGUGUGGCUGACUUCUGGGUCUCAAAUGGAUGAAGCCACUUGACUAAACAGCCGGCGAAACCAUCGAGUUAUUGAAGGGACAUUUUAAUGCAUAAAUUAUCAUGUCAAUUGGGCUUAUACUGGUUUUUGUGGGGCUUUUUUCCGGGUCGAGAGAGUGAAAAUUUGAUCCACCUCACUACGUUGUGUUUAUUAAAUGUUGUAGACAAUUGACUAUCUCAGAGCCAGUUGCAAACAACAUUUAAAAUAAAUUAUUUAAUAAUAAAUAAUAAAAGUUUUCGAAUAUUAAAAUAAUUUUGAAGCGUUUUUUUUUAACUUCCGGUAGC